rnacentral:rRNA from 1 species
GAUGAACGCUAGCGGGAGGCUUAAUACAUGCAAGUCGUACGGUAACAGGUGUAGCAAUACAUGCUGACGAGUGGCGCACGGGUGAGGAACACGUACACAAUCUGCCUCUGACUGGGAGAUAGCCCUGGGGAAACUAGGAUUAAUACCCCAUAACAUUACGGAAAGGCGUCUUUCUGUGAUUAAACCUACCGGGGUCGAGAGAUGAGUGUGCGUCUGAUUAGGUAGUUGGCGGGGUAACGGCCCACCAAGCCUGCGAUCAGUAGCUGGCGUGAGAGCGCGACCAGCCACACGGGAACUGAGACACGGUCCCGACUCCUACGGGAGGCAGCAGUAGGGAAUAUUGGACAAUGGCUGAAAAGCUGAUCCAGCCAUCCCGCGUGAAGGCAGAAGGUCCUUUGGAUUGUAACUUCUUUUCUCUGGGAAGAAAUCACGGGUUUCUACCUGUGUUGACGGUACCAGAGGAAUAAGCACCGG